AGUGGAAUUGCUGGGUCAUACAGUAACUCUAGGUUUAAUUUUUUAAGGAACUACCAAACUGUUUUCCAAAGUAGCUAUACCAUUUUAUACUCCCACCAGCAAU
rnacentral:pre_miRNA from 1 species